GCAGACACAUUCCAACCAAUCAGCAGCAGACCCUCCCUCCCAGACUCUCCCACCUCCUGGACAGCAUCCAUUGUGAAGCUGCAUUCUUAGUGAGCUGUCCAGGAGGUGGGAGGGUCUGGGAGGGAGGGUCUGCUGCUGAUUGGCUGGAAUGUGUCUG